GUUUUUUGUUGGCCUACUCAUCCUCUUCCUGCUUUUGUCUGCAGCUGGAUUUAGUGUCAUCAUUUUCAAAUCCAAGAUCAGACAGACAGUGACAGAAUCAUUACGAGCGUACAUUCCUUUAAACCAGCAACUGCGGGACUUCCAGGACAACAUCAAUAACUUGCAAAAACAGGCCAAGUGUUGUGGACUGAUUAAUGGCCCCCAAGACUGGAGCGAGGGGGCACCGGACACAUGUAACUGCAAG